rnacentral:ncRNA from 1 species
UAACAGGGGUGCUGGACCAUUCCGGUCCGGCUGAGAUUAUACUCUUAUACCUGAUCCGGGUAAUGCCGGCGUAGGGAGCA